GACGAACGCUGGCGGCGUGCCUAAUACAUGCAAGUAGGACGCAGUUGCGAACGGGUGAGUAACGCGUAGGUAACUACCUAUUAGAGGGGGAUAACUAUUGGAAACGAUAGCUAAUACCGCAUACUCGUAGAUGGACCUGCUGUGUAUUAGCUAGUAGGUAGGGUAAAGGUCUACCUAGGCAAAGAUACAUAGCCGACCUGAGAGGGUGAGCGGGCACACUGGGACUGGGACACGGACCAGACUCCUACGGGAGGAAGCAGGAGGGAAGCUUCGGAAAGGGGGGGAACCCUGACCGAGCAACGCCGCGUGAGUGAAGAAGGUUUUCGGAUCGGAAAGCUCUGUUGUGAAGGAAGCGGUACUUAACCAGAAAGGGACGGCUAACUACGUGCCAGCAGCCGCGGUAAUUC
rnacentral:rRNA from 1 species